ensembl:lncRNA
GCAGCAGCCUUGCUCACAGCUGGGAGGUAAGUAGCAAAGUCACCAGAGGGAAAGUCUCCUCUGGGGAAGAAGAGCAUCUUUUCCACUAAGGAGCUUGCCCGCGUUCCUUUAUUGGAGUCUCCCUGGAAGAACUACCAUGCUAUUUUGGAGUGGCUGCUAGGACUGUACAUUCCUAGUGAUGCUAUCUGCAGGAGGACGGCACUGAAACAAGAAGCUGGUGUCCUUUUAUGUUUCAGAAAAUGUGCCUAUACUUGGAAAAAAUAAAAAGAAUGUUUUAAUGUUUAUAAUCUUAAUUCAGGUGUCCAGAGACAAAUCUAAUUUAAGGGACUUAUGUUCUGGGGUAUGCCGAGAUACAAGCAGCCACAUGGUAACAGUCAAAGAGGAUGUGUCUAGGCCCUCUUACAUCUCCGGAGUUAGAAGGUCACAAUCAUAGCUGGUUUCUGCUUUUUUUUGGAUCUACGGUUAAGCUGCAUUUGAGAAAACUACUGCAACCGUGACAGUUUUGCAUGUGGAUGAUUUGCUUUUGUGCUCUUGCAGCACAGGCUCUCAUCAGUAGAUUACUGGGCAUCAUUUCCAUCCCAAGCCAUAUGAGGUUGUUGUGCAUGAUGAACGUGAAACAUUUACCUGUAAUUUGAAGGGUAAUUUCAACUAUUUUUUUCAACCAAAGCAAUAAAUAAGCAUGUGGUUUCUCCAUAUCUCUCUGUGUCUACAUCUAUAAGAUUUUAAUGUUUAGGUUUCGGUCUAUAUUUUAUAUAGAAUGUCUGUAUUUUCUAUAUUAUGUCUAUAUUUUAUAUAGAAUGCACAAAAUCAUAAGAAACAUAUGUCUUAUAUAGAAUUAUUAUUGUUUAUUAUCCUUUUAAUAAUCGUUGUCAACUAUGUAAGGACAGAGCCUUAGGGAGAACAUUUUCUAUGAUAUAUCCAGUUGCUGCCACUCUGUCACAUUCUUUCUUUUGCUACACACACCACAGCUGUUGUUUGUGUGACACCAUAUCUGUUACCACUGUUUCUACCACAGAGCUAGAAAAAACAGCAGUAGUUGACUUAAAUUUGUAGGUUGUCAAA